AGCCAAUGGGUUCCGAGAUUGUAUUUCAGCAAAUGUGUUUUGCCUCUUUUGCCCUCCACACAGACUGUUUACCUGCAUGCAACCAAAGCCUGCUCAAAUGUGAUUGGUCAACAUACUACUCAGACUACAAA